UACGGAGGGUGCAAGCGUUAAUCGGAAUUACUGGGCGUAAAGCGUGCGCAGGCGGUUUGUUAAGUCCGUUGUGAAAGCCCCGAGCUCAACUCGGGAAUUGCAGUGGAUACUGGCAGGCUGGAGUACGGUAGAGGAAGGUGAAAUUCCCGGUGUAGCAGUGAAAUGCGUAGAGAUCGGGGGGAACAUCAGUGGCGAAGGCGGCUGUCUGGCCCAAUACUGACACUCAGGUGCGACAGCGUGGGGAGCAAACAGG
rnacentral:rRNA from 1 species